GAAUUUUAGGCAAUGGGGGAAACCCUGACCGAGCAAUGCUGCGUGAAUGAUGAAGGUCUUCGGACGGUAAAGUUCUGUUAUCGGGAACGAAUAAAAUAGCGAGGAAAUAGGCCAUGCAUGACGGUACACGAGAAAAAAGCCCCGGCUAACUAUGUGCCAGCCGCCGCAGUAAUACAUAGGGGGCAAGCGUUAUCCGGAAUUAGUGGGCGUAAAGCGUGUGUAGGCGGCCCAUUAAGUCUUGCGUGAAAUCCCACAGCUUAACUGUGGAGGUUCGUUGGAAACUGAUGGGCUUGAGUACGGUAGAGGUAAGUGGAAUUCCAAGUGGAGCGUUAGAAUGCGUAGAUAUUUGGAGGAACACCAGUGGCGAAGGCGGCUUACUGGGCCGGAACUGACGCUGAGACACGAAAGCGUGGGGAGCAAACA
rnacentral:rRNA from 1 species